GGCGUUAUAACUCAGGGGUAGAGUGUUGCACUAGUAAUGCAAAUGUCACGAGUUCAAAUCUCGUUAAUGCCU
rnacentral:tRNA from 1 species